ensembl:lncRNA
AUUCUGACACCUGGCUCAUCUGUUAGUCUGUUCUGUUGAUUGCUUUGUCUUUUGACAGUGGUUUUUCCCCUUGCCUUUUUGAGUUUAUGUGUCUCAUAAUUUUUGAUGGAAUUCCAUUGUAUGUAGAACAGUAGAACAUGAGGCAUAUAGUAUUUGUGCCUGGAAAUGGUUGAGGACUUUGGUGCCAGAGAGUUUUCCUCAAUGUUCUUGCUCUAUUUUUAUUUUAUUUUAUUUUAUUUAAAGAUUGGCACCUGAGCUAACAUCUAAUGCCAGUCUUCUUUUUUUUUUCUUUCUCCUCAAAGCCCCUCAGUACACACUCAUGUAUUCUAGCUGUAGGUCCUUCUAGUUGUGCUAUGUGGGACGCUGCCUCAGCAUGGCUUGAUGAGUGGUGCUAGGUCCGCACUCAGGAUCCAAACUGGCAAAACCCUGGGCCACCGAAGUGGAGCGUGUGAACUUAACCACUUGGCCAUGUGGCUGGCCCUCUGCUCUACUUUUAGCUUCCUGCUUUUUUUUGUGCACCUAUGCCACAAAGGGUUUGUUUCCAUGCUCUUGCCCCUCCUUAGUGGUAGACUUCCAUUGCUUCUUACUUGGUACUUACUAGUCUGGUGGUGGAGGUCAGAAGUUUUUCUCUGUUAUCCUGGUCUAGUCCUAGUCUUAGGAGUUCUGCGCCAGGAUUUUGGGUUGGAGAUUCAGUCAUCCUGCUCCUCCUCCUCAUGGAAGCUAAAUUCUGUCUUACACGUUUGGUGGAUCUUGUGUGGGAGAGAGUUUCCUGUUCUUUCCCAGUGGUAGGAGACCCUUAAUUGCAUUGAUGUAGUGUCCUGGGUCCAAGACUGUUCCUUCACCUUCCCCUCAUGGAGAGAGUUUUUUUUUGUUUUAUGCCUUCCCCAGGUACAAUAGAUUUCCACUUGUUCCCUGGGGGCAACAGAGUUUGCUGCCCCACAGUUGGUGGCUUAAGGCUUUUGUUUCAUAGAGGAGAAGGGUUUAGGUAGGGUUUGAUGUUUUUCUUCCUCGAGUCACAGUGGCAGAACAGGGUGGAUGUGGGGAGGUAGUGGCACCCUGACCUCUCUUUCCUCCCACCACCAAUCUUUUGCUAGUGCUUCCCAUUAGCUGAAGCCAGCCAAAAGCCAGAUGACAAGGGAAACUGGCAGGUGCCGUCCACAGAAGUCAGCCUCCUAGAAGAGGAGGAGAGCAGAGAAAGUUGGGGAUUGGAACUUUGGAUGGAAGAACGGAAAAUAACCAGCACUCAUGUGCAUAUUUGUAUAAUAACAAUAUGAAAAUAAAAAUAAAAUAAGACAAGAAAGUCAAAAGCUGAGAGAAUGUCUGAAGGAAUAAGCCACUGGUUCUGAUUGGACUCAAAAAGGUAUAAAGAUAGGAGGAAUCUGAUUGAGCAGGAGAUAAAGUAGAGGUCCAGACUCUGGUAAAUUUGGUGAGGGAGAAAGUUGAUUAAAUGGGAGUGAAAAAUUGAGGGAGCUGGAAGGAUUAAGCAGUAUGCUUAGGGAGGAAGAUGGAAUCUAAGAUUUAUGAGAUUCUGUCAAAAUUGAGAGCAUGGCCAUAGGUAAGAAUGACUGAAGUGGGUUGUGAGAAUCAAAGGAUUUGUGAAGCCAGGAUAUCGGAUGGGUAGUUUGCUUAGAUCUUGUUGGAACCAAGGACAAUGAUAGGACAGAACUGGAGAGCAGAACUUUGGCACCUGAGGUUGUCCUCAAGGAGUGAAGGGAUGGAAUGAAGAGAUGUGAUGUCAGUGACAAGGAGAGAAGGAGGCAGGUACGGCCAGAUGACUGGAGCUUGAGAAUAGUUGUUUUUAUAUUAGCAUUAUUGCUUCUACUCUUACUAAUCCUCUUACUAUUAUGACGAUUAUGUAGUAUUACACUCAGGCCGACAUUCAGACAGUAGUAUGUGUUUCGUUAAGCAUUAGUGGGGAGCCAGGAGAAUUUUAACCUGCUCCUCCUGGUUUGGUAAGUUCCUCUACCCUCACGCAUUUCACACUUCAGCCACAUUGAACUUGCAUUUCUUAAAUGGUGGUCAUUUAAGUUGUACGUUUUUCUGUGUCAUAAACAAUUCUGUGCUGAACUGCUUCAUGUAUACAGCAAAAGCUAACAUUUAUUGCCAGAUUCUCUGUGGUAGAUAGACUCUAAGACGGCAUUUCUAGUCCCCAACUCCUGGUAUUCGUGGGUUUGUGAAGUUUCCUCCUCUUGAGUGUGAGUAGGACCUGCGACUCACUUCUAACCAAUAGAAUAUGACAAACGUAAUGGGAUGUGAUUAUAUUACAUUAUAUAAGACUCAGUCUUGUUAGCCUAGAGACUUUUUCCCUUGCUGGAUUUGAAGACGUGGCCAUGCUAGAAGCCCCAUGUGGCAAGGAGCUGAGGGCAGCCAUUAGGAGAUGAGGAUGGUUUCCAUUCAAGAGCCAACAACAGACCCUUCCGCAGUUGAGCCUUUAGAUGAGAAUCAAGCUCCAGCUGGCACUUUGCCUGCAGCCUUGCAGAGGACAUGGUUAAGUCAUGCCCAGACUCUCAACCCACAGACACUGUGAGGUAACAGAAGUGUACUGUUUUAAACUGCAGAGUUCGUUUAACUUGUUAUGCAGCAAUAGAAAACUUAUACUCUGUAAUACUUCACAGAUAUUGUCUCAAUUGAUUUUCACGACAGCCUUAAGAAGUCAAUUGAUAUUAUUCCAAUGUUUGUAAAUGAGGAUUCUGAGGUUCAGGGAAGUUGAGAAACUUGCCCAGAGUCACAUAGCAGGUAACAGGUAGAGAUUUGAAGGCAAAUUUCUAAUUCUAGAUCCCAUGGUCUUAACCUGCCUUUAAUAAGACUUCCAAUUCUUGGUUUUGGAGAUACAGUACCAACCUUUCAAAAAGUUUAUAUCAGUUUAUAGUUUUACCAACAGUCAUUAAGGGUAUCUUAUACCUGUAUAUCACCCAUAUCUUAACGUUUUCCCCAAUAUUGAUUAUUUGUUUUAAAAUUGAUAAAUUCACAAGCAAAAUCGCAGUUUCUAAAAUUUGCUCUUCUUUGAACAUGUUCUUUGAUUUUUGUUUUCUGUUCUAUUUUCUUUUGCAUGAGUGGUCCAUUUAUGGACAGCACUCUCUUGGGGUAUUAUGGUAAGAGAGGGAGUGAAUGAGGGAAGCAUCUCCAAUUUUUGUCUUUUCAAGUAACAGAAUAAAAUUUAGAUUAAAUUAAACUCUUAGUGAAAUGGCCAUACAGAGAACUAACACAGGCUGGCAUUUUGAAGCCUAAAGUGCGUGUCUGUUUAUGGACUAUAUUCCACUUAUACAGCACACGGCUAUCAAAGCACCUAAGAAAAAUUCAUUCCUAUUUCAAUAAGGGAAAUAUUCAUGCUAUUGAUUCUAGUUAGUCACUUAAUGUGUAUUUUUGUGCACUUGGGUGAAUGAACUCUGGAGCUCUAUAAUUAAUUUUUCUCCUCUGUGCCUUUCUGAAAAACUCCAUCCCACAAAUUGUACUUCAUUUAGUAUCAGUCUAAAUACGCAAAUAAAAUAGCUUGGUAGAAAUUAAGUUUAGAGGGCAAUAUUUUUUGAUAGAUUUAAAUUUGUCUUUUCCCUUAAGGAAACCCUACAAGUUAUGAAGUUUUGCAAAUUUAUCCAAAGACGAAGUACAAAGUGACUGAUUUCUACGGCAAUUUUUCCGUGACAUUAUUAUUGGAAGACAGAUGCUUUCUCUUUCUUAAUGAGAACAAAGAAAUCAUUUCAGUUCCUGAAAUCACACAUUUCAAACAUUUCCCAAUGAGAAUGGAAAUAGUUUGGUUAUGAAGACACUCAUUUUUGUGGUGCUGUGGUUAGUGCUAAAUUUAACAGGAAAAACAAUUAGCAUUGUAAUACCAAGAUUUUUCUAAACCCUUUUAAAUAAAGAAUUAAACCAUUAAUCAGUUAAUGAAUGAGAUUGAUCACAGUGUUUUUGAAAUAAGAAAUCCAGGACAUGUAAUUACACUAUGAACAUGUCUGUGAAAACAAAUAUUACCUCCCCAGCUUGUGGAAUGCUUCAUGAUUGAGCUGCCUUUGUACCUGCCCAGAUCUUUCUAUAGAUUGGCUCAUCAUGAUGAUGAUGAAGGUGAAGAAGAUGAAGCUUCUUAUGAAGAUGAUUGAUGAUGACAGUUAUACCUUAUUAAAGGCUUACCAUGUACCAGGCACAUUAUCUCAUUUAAUCUUCACCACAACAAUAUGAAUAAGUGCUAUCAUUAUCCUCGUUUUACAGAUGAGGAUUCCAAGGCUCAGAGAGGUUAGGUUGUUCAAGGUCACACAGUUGGUGAGUGGCAGGAAUAGGAUUCAGACUCAGGUGUGCUUGACUGCAAAGACCAAUAGCUUUCCUAGACCGAGUCACGGAGCUCCACAUGCUUAGGUCAGUUUUUGAGCUACUCACAGGGCUGAAUCUCACAUCUUGAUUCCAGGGACACAGCCAAGACAGGAUCACUGACAAAAGUCUUUAUUUUCCUCUGCCUUGUCAGGAUCACCUUUCAGGUAUUUCUAUGACACUUGAAGAUACAGAGGUGUCUGUAACCCUGCCAAAAUGCUAUGCUUUGAUAAAAACAAAUACGUUUUUAUCCCAAGCAUAUUUGGAUUAUUAGAUACUGUGGGUGGCUUUCCAUGACUCACAUGGACCUCUUACUUGGAAAGAUGAUAAACCUAGCAGUUUACCCCAGAACUCCACACCUCUCAACAAUUAGAACUAUGGUCACUUUUCUGCGGCAGAGGCCUUCCAUGGGAACUGUCCAUGGUGGUUCCUUACAGAACUCACAAGUCAUAUUAGGACUCUCCAGUGUUAGACAUGGUGCUGAAUUUCUAGCCAAGUCUCUCUCUCUCUCUCUCUCUUCCUCCCUGUCUCCUCUCUUGACCUCCCUCCCUCUAUGUAUUUAUGAAUUAGAGUGAUGUUACAGGAAAAGUAUGUAUAUUUAACUUGUUCCCUUACAUCAGAUUUAGACUUGAGAUUCUAAUUUUCUGAUGAUUAGAAAUAGCAAUAUAUUUAUCACAUGUUAAAACAAUAAAAGAAUGCUCUUCUAUGAGAAUGAUUGUAGGAUGUCCACCACACAUCCAAAAUAUUUGGUGUCUUUAGAUUAAUGUCUUAUAUUGUUAAUCCUUAAAUCCCAGGAACAUAGAAAUGCAAAGAGCAUUAUAGUAACAAGGCCAUUUUGGUUGAGUUUCUGAGUAUAUGGACCACUGAGUAUAGAGACCACUUCACUGUGGUUGACUGUAUUACUGUUUACCCAUAAUUUUUGUGCCCCUCUCUGUGGUGUCCCUGUCUGUAGGAAGAUUAUACAUCUCUGCCCUGUUGAACUCAGAAGUGGCCAUGUGACUUGCUUUGGCCAAGCUAAUGUGGGCCGCUUCUGAGCAGAGGCUGUAAGAGCCAGCAUGUGUGGUUCACAAUGCCACCAUAAGGCUGCUCCAAUAGCCUGAAUCCCAAAAGGAAAGUAAUUGGAUCAGAGCAACAGCUGACCCUCACUGGACAGGUAGACUAAGGGAGAAGCAAACCUUUGUGGUUGUAAGCCACGAGGUGUUUAGAGCUAUUGUUGCCACAGGAUGACCUAGUCUAUCAUGACUGAUACACUUAUCCACUGUCACUCAACACUGCAAAACCCUCUACGGAAGAGGCAGCCACAAAUUAAAUUUCUAGUGAUGAUAAACAGUAGACUUUGAACUUAAUAUAAUAAAGCCCAAAUGGAGUACAAAAUUCUCACCUUCUUUUCUCUCCUAGGCAGGACUGGUUAGAAUGAGAAGCUAACCAGCAACGUGGUUGCAACUGAGGCUUUAGCUCAUCCUUCGGAGGCCUGGAGGUGGGAAAGCCCUUCAUAGUUGUCCCACAUGGAAGCAAAGUGUUCCGGCCUUCAUAACCUUCCUUAACUAGUCAUGGCUGUGGGCUGCCCUCUGGGAAAGGCACAGCCCUGUGGCUGAGGGCAAUAUUCAUUGAAGGACAUAGCUCUUGGCAGCUCAGUUCCAAGAGGAAGAAAUAGAAGGUUUUAGUCUUAAGGCCUGGGCUGGGAGAUCCCAGAAUGUAUUUCUACUGCAUUCUAUUUAUCAGAGAAGUCCUACGGUGUUCUUAGACUCAAAAGAAGGAGAAAGAAACGCCACCUCUCAAUGGAAGAAAGACACAGGCACAUGAGGAGGGAAGACAGAAAUGGUAGCAUCUUUGGAGUAAGUCCAUCAUGCCAGGGUGACUGGGUCACUUAUCAGCUUUUCUAAGGAGUGCUGUGGAAGUAGAAGAUAUCUACUACUCAUUCAUUCAUUCAGUCAUUCACUCAUUCAUUGUUAGCUUUUUGCUGACCAUCUACUAUGUGCUGGGCUUUGUUCUAGCCAUUGUGGAUAUAAAGGUGGAAAAGACAGACAAGGUCUCUGCUCUCAUGGGGCUUACAAUCUAGUUGGGGAAAAAUCAAAAUUAAAAAAAUAUGUAUAUAUAUUUAAAUAAG